ACCGAUAGUGAACCAGUACCGUGAGGGAAAGGCGAAAAGAACCCCGGCGAGGGGAGUGAAAAAGAACCUGAAACCGUGUACGUACAAGCAGUGGGAGCACGCUUAGGCGUGUGACUGCGUACCUUUUGUAUAAUGGGUCAGCGACUUAUAUUCUGUAGCAAGGUUAACCGAAUAGGGGAGCCGAAGGGAAACCGAGUCUUAACUGGGCGUUAAGUUGCAGGGUAUAGACCCGAAACCCGGUGAUCUAGCCAUGGGCAGGUUGAAGGUUGGGUAACACUAACUGGAGGACCGAACCGACUAAUGUUGAAAAAUUAGCGGAUGACUUGUGGCUGGGGGUGAAAGGCCAAUCAAACCGGGAGAUAGCUGGUUCUCCCCGAAAGCUAUUUAGGUAGCGCCUCGUGAAUUCAUCUCCGGGGGUAGAGCACUGUUUCGGCAAGGGGGUCAUCCCGACUUACCAACCCGAUGCAAACUGCGAAUACCGGAGAAUGUUAUCACGGGAGACACACGGCGGGUGCUAACGUCCGUCGUGAAGAGGGAAACAACCCAGACCGCCAGCUAAGGUCCCAAAGUCAUGGUUAAGUGGGAAACGAUGUGGGAAGGCCCAGACAGCCAGGAUGUUGGCUUAGAAGCAGCCAUCAUUUAAAGAAAGCGUAAUAGCUCACUGGUCGAGUCGGCCUGCGCGGAAGAUGUAACGGGGCUAAACCAUGCACCGAAGCUGCGGCAGCGACGCUGAUGCGUUGUUGGGUAGGGGAGCGUUCUGUAAGCCUGCGAAGGUGUGCUGUGAGGCAUGCUGGAGGUAUCAGAAGUGCGAAUGCUGACAUAAGUAACGAUAAAGCGGGUGAAAAGCCCGCUCGCCGGAAGACCAAGGGUUCCUGUCCAACGUUAAUCGGGGCAGGGUGAGUCGACCCCUAAGGCGAGGCCGAAAGGCGUAGUCGAUGGGAAACAGGUUAAUAUUCCUGUACUUGGUGUUACUGCGAAGGGGGGACGGAGAAGGCUAUGUUGGCCGGGCGACGGUUGUCCCGGUUUAAGCGUGUAGGCUGGUUUUCCAGGCAAAUCCGGAAAAUCAAGGCUGAGGCGUGAUGACGAGGCACUACGGUGCUGAAGCAACAAAUGCCCUGCUUCCAGGAAAAGCCUCUAAGCAUCAGGUAACAUCAAAUCGUACCCCAAACCGACACAGGUGGUCAGGUAGAGAAUACCAAGGCGCUUGAGAGAACUCGGGUGAAGGAACUAGGCAAAAUGGUGCCGUAACUUCGGGAGAAGGCACGCUGAUAUGUAGGUGAAGUCCCUCGCGGAUGGAGCUGAAAUCAGUCGAAGAUACCAGCUGGCUGCAACUGUUUAUUAAAAACACAGCACUGUGCAAACACGAAAGUGGACGUAUACGGUGUGACGCCUGCCCGGUGCCGGAAGGUUAAUUGAUGGGGUCAGCGCAAGCGAAGCUCUUGAUCGAAGCCCCGGUAAACGGCGGCCGUAACUAUAACGGUCCUAAGGUAGCGAAAUUCCUUGUCGGGUAAGUUCCGACCUGCACGAAUGGCGUAAUGAUGGCCAGGCUGUCUCCACCCGAGACUCAGUGAAAUUGAACUCGCUGUGAAGAUGCAGUGUACCCGCGGCAAGACGGAAAGACCCCGUGAACCUUUACUAUAGCUUGACACUGAACAUUGAGCCUUGAUGUGUAGGAUAGGUGGGAGGCUUUGAAGUGUGGACGCCAGUCUGCAUGGAGCCGACCUUGAAAUACCACCCUUUAAUGUUUGAUGUUCUAACGUUGACCCGUAAUCCGGGUUGCGGACAGUGUCUGGUGGGUAGUUUGACUGGGGCGGUCUCCUCCUAAAGAGUAACGGAGGAGCACGAAGGUUGGCUAAUCCUGGUCGGACAUCAGGAGGUUAGUGCAAUGGCAUAAGCCAGCUUGACUGCGAGCGUGACGGCGCGAGCAGGUGCGAAAGCAGGUCAUAGUGAUCCGGUGGUUCUGAAUGGAAGGGCCAUCGCUCAACGGAUAAAAGGUACUCCGGGGAUAACAGGCUGAUACCGCCCAAGAGUUCAUAUCGACGGCGGUGUUUGGCACCUCGAUGUCGGCUCAUCACAUCCUGGGGCUGAAGUAGGUCCCAAGGGUAUGGCUGUUCGCCAUUUAAAGUGGUACGCGAGCUGGGUUUAGAACGUCGUGAGACAGUUCGGUCCCUAUCUGCCGUGGGCGCUGGAGAACUGAGGGGGGCUGCUCCUAGUACGAGAGGACCGGAGUGGACGCAUCACUGGUGUUCGGGUUGUCAUGCCAAUGGCACUGCCCGGUAGCUAAAUGCGGAAGAGAUAAGUGCUGAAAGCAUCUAAGCACGAAACUUGCC
rnacentral:rRNA from 1 species